rnacentral:rRNA from 1 species
GCCUAAUCACAAAACUAAUAUCUUAAUCCACCACCAACACCGAGUACUUCUAUAAUGCUAUAGAAAAUUUUAUGUUAAAACUAGUAACAAGAAGCAAACCUUCUCUUAAAUGUGGAUGUAAAUCAGAAAGGACAGACCACUGAUAUUUAGCACCCUUGAACCUAAAGUAACAACUAAUCAAGAAAACCCUACUCUAAUUAACGUUAACCUAACACAAGAACAUUCUAAGAAAGAUUAAAAGAACAAGAAGGAACUCGGCAAAUUUUAACCUCGCCUGUUUACCAAAAACAUCGCCUCUUGGCCCCCCCCCAUAAGAGGUCUAGCCGGCCCAGUGACUCUGUUUAACGGCCGCGGUAUCCUAACCGUGCGAAGGUAGCGUAAUCACUUGUUCUUUAAAUAAGGACUAGUAUGAAUGGCAUUACGAGGGUUACACUGUCUCCUUUUUCCAAUCAGUGAAACUAAUCUCCCCGUGAAGAAGCGGGAAUUAACCUAUAAGACGAGAAGACCCUAUGGAGCUUUAAACAAUACAGCAUUUACCUUACAAAUUUCUAAAAACAAACUUUACUAGGUAAAAUGGCUAUAAGUUUUUGGUUGGGGUGACCGCGGAGCAUAGUCUAACCUCCUUGUUGAAAAAAUCUUAUUUUUAAGCCCAGAAUUACUUAUCUAAGCAUCAACAUUUUGACAUCCAUUGACCCAAUUAUAUUGAACAACGAACCAAGUUACCCUAGGGAUAACAGCGCAAUCCACUUUAAGAGCCCAUAUCGACAAGUGGGUUUACGACCUCGAUGUUGGAUCAGGGUUUCCAAGUGGUGCAGCCGCUACUAGCUUCUUCUAGUACGAAAGGACCGAAAAAGCAUGGCCUAUAUACUAACAAGCCACUGCUACUAAAUUAUGACAUUAACUUAACAAUAUCGUAGCCCAUAAACCUGCUCAAGACAAGAGCC